GACGAACGCUGGCGGCGUGCCUAAUACAUGCAAGUCGAACCCACUCUCGUUUAGAUUGAAGGAGCUUGCUCCUGAUUGAUAAACAUUUGAGUGAGUGGCGGACGGGUGAGUAACACGUGGGUAACCUGCCCUAAAGUGGGGGAUAACAUUUGGAAACAGAUGCUAAUACCGCAUAAACCCAACACCGCAUGGUGUAGGGUUGAAAGAUGGUUUCGGCUAUCACUUUAGGAUGGACCCGCGGUGCAUUAGUUAGUUGGUGAGGUAAAAGGCUCACCAAGACCGUGAUGCAUAGCCGACCUGAGAGGGUAAUCGGCCACACUGGGACUGAGACACGGCCCAGACUCCUACGGGAGGCAGCAGUAGGGAAUCUUCCACAAUGGACGAAAGUCUGAUGGAGCAACGCCGCGUGAGUGAAGAAGUUUUCGGAUCGUAAAACUCUGUUGUUGGAGAAGAAUGUAUCUGAUAGUAACUGAUCAGGUAGUGACGGUAUCCAACCAGAAAGCC
rnacentral:rRNA from 1 species